rnacentral:lncRNA from 1 species
GACUCAUCAACUAUACCAGUCCUCUGUUCCUGGUCUCUGGAGCUUCAAUUUGGGAAAGUGACCCAUUAGCUUCUGAGGACCAGGGUGAGAGAGGGCAAACUUGAAUGCCCUUCACAAUGGAGAGAUGUGUGCAGACCGGACAGACAUCAGUUCCUUUAUCAGUGCACAGGUAGCUGCAAUAUGCUUCCUGGAAUCCUCUCUCAAAUAAACUGCUUGCCUCCAAAUCCUUGUCUCAGGCCUGCAUGUGGAGAGAUAAAACCCAGACAAAGAGGCAGACAUGAGCAGAUUAGCUCCCCCGAACAGGAGACAAGUGGGCUGAGAGGUGAAGGAAAAGGAUGAGGAUACUUCUGCCUCCAAGAAAAUGAGACUGGGUUGUCCUGCUGAAGGAAAAGAGUCACAUGACUAUUGCUCAGAUAACAUCAAUCUGACCACCAGGCAUGUGAGUGAGACUGUCUAAGAUAACUCAGUUUCAGCUGAGCUGAUCCAGAGCAGAAAAGCUGUCCAGGAACCAAGGGAACCUGACAGAUAAGUAAUGUUUCUUACUUUAAAUCUCUAUAUUUGAAUUGAUCUCUUAUCCAGCAAAAACUGCCUGAUAUGACACCUUCACAACUCCUUUAUAUAUUCCAAAUUAAUUGUAGCCUCCUUGAGCACAAAACUACUUUGACUGACAUCUUCUAAAGCUCCUUCAGGACUCAGAUUCUGCCUCACUCAUUUAAGGAGCAGAGGACAUGUUUGUUGAUUGACAAUCUUGUCCGAAGUUUCUGCUAUGCUUCAAGGAUCAGUUAGUAAUUUAAUUCCUUUAGAGGCUGGUUUAGGUCCCCAAGCACCAGCUAAAAACAAACCUGCAACAUCGAAUCUUGAAAAAAAGCCAACAGAUCAUAAGCUUUGAAAUCAACUGUAGGAUCUAUGGAGGAACAUUUUGCUAGGGCUUCAAAGACCAUAGGCAUUAAUAUAACCUCACUCUCAGACUCAGAUCCUCUCUCUGAUUUCUCCUUCAGUUCCUGCAGAGAAUUUGAGUCAAAGGGAAUGGAAGAGUCUGCUAGUUCAAAUGAAUUGAGGUGGGGAUGAUUAGAAAUUGAAACUCAGCAGACAAAAUUGGGAAGUAAAGUUUCUCUGAAAGUAUUAUUUUCAUAAUUAUAAGGAAUUUGCAUAUAUAUAAAAAUGACUUUCUGUCAUUUAAAAAUGCUUCCACAAAAAUAUACAUAAGAGUUUCACCUCAAGGUUGAAAAUGAGAAAGUUGGAGUAUAUGAUGAGUAAGAGCUUAUAAAUAUAUAAUCCUGUAUAGAGUUCUGACAUCCUAGAUGCUGUCCACCUGUCCCUAACAAAAGCCAUGGAUUUCUACAGGGUCAUGUAAAGUAAAAGGUUAUUUUGAACAUUC